AAUCGCGGAUCAGAAUGCCGCGGUGAAUACGUUCCCGGGUCUUGUACACACCGCCCGUCACACCAUGGGAGUCGGAAAUGCCCGAAGUCAGUGACCCAACCGUAAGGAGGGAGCUGCCGAAGGUGGAGCCGGUAACUGGGGUGAAGUCGUAACAAGGUAUC
rnacentral:rRNA from 1 species